rnacentral:rRNA from 1 species
AGCAGCCGCGGUAAUUCCAGCUCCAAUAGCGUAUAUUAAAGUUGUUGCAGUUAAAAAGCUCGUAGUUGAACUUCAGGCCUGGCUGGACGGUCCGCCCUCUGGGUGAGCACUGUCUGUGGUCGGGUCCUACCUUCUGGCGAAGCGGCAUGGCCUUAACCGGCCGUGGCGGGGAACCAGGGACUUUUACUGUGAAAAAAUUAGAGUGUUCAAAGCAGGCACGCGCUUGAAUACAUUAGCAUGGAAUAAUGGAAUAGGACAAUGGUUCUAUUUGUUGGUUUCUAGGACCGUUGUAAUGAUUAAUAGGGAUAGUUGGGGGCAUUAGUAUUCAAUUGUCAGAGGUGAAAUUCUUGGAUUUAUUGAAGACUAACUACUGCGAAAGCAUUUGCCAAGGAUGUUUUCAUUAAUCAAGAACGAAAGUUAGGGGAUACGAAGACGAUCAGAUACCGUCGUAGUCUUAACCAUAAACUAUGCCGACUAGGAAUCGGGCGAUGUUGACAAAAUGACGCGCUCGGCACCUA